CAGCCGCCGCGGGAAUACGAAGGGUGCAAGCGUUAAUCGGAAUUACUGGGCGUAAAGCGUGCGUAGGCGGUGAGUUAAGUCUGCUGUGAAAUCCCCGGGCUCAACCUGGGAAUGGCAGUGGAUACUGGCUCGCUAGAGUGUGUCAGAGGAUGGUGGAAUUCCCGGUGUAGCGGUGAAAUGCGUAGAGAUCGGGAGGAACAUCAGUGGCGAAGGCGGCCAUCUGGGACAACACUGACGCUGAGGCACGAAAGCGUGGGGAGCAAACAGGAUUAGAUACCCCCGUAGUCCCUGUCUCUUAUAC
rnacentral:rRNA from 1 species